UCAAUGCGCCUGCGUGGGGGCUAUUGCCACAGUCUUCUGGGGAGGUUGGACAUGGCGGCUGCUGAAGGGUCUUCAUCUCAGCCGGCGGCUUCAGAACAGCCGGCGGAGCUGCCUGCCUCAGUGCGGGCGAACAUCGAGCGUAAGCGGCAGCGGGCGCUGAUGUUGCGCCAGGCCCGGCUGGCGGCCCGGCCUUACCCAGCGACGACGGCUGCGGCUACCGGAGGCGUGGCUAAUGUAAAAGCAGCCCCAAAGAUAAUUGACACAGGAGGAGGCUUCAUUCUGGAAGAGGAGGUAGAAGAAGAACAUGCAAUUGGAAAAGUUGUUCAUCAACCAGGACCUGUUAUGGAAUUUGAUUAUGUAAUAUGUGAAGAAUGUGGUAAAGAAUUUAUGGAUUCUUAUCUUAUGAACCACUUUGAUUUGGCAACUUGUGAUAACUGCAGAGAUGCUGAUGAUAAACACAAGCUUAUAACUAAAACAGAAGCAAAACAAGAAUACCUUCUGAAAGACUGUGAUUUAGAAAAAAGAGAACCAGCUCUUAAAUUUAUUGUGAAGAAGAAUCCUCAUCAUUCGCAAUGGGGUGAUAUGAAACUCUACUUAAAAUUACAGAUUGUAAAGAGGUCUCUUGAAGUUUGGGGUACUCAGGAAGCAUUAGAAGAAGCGAAGGCAAUUCGACAGAAAAACCGAGAAAAAAUGAAACAGAAGAAGUUUGAUAAAAAAGUAAAAGAGGUUGGUGGAUAUGUUCCUGUCUUCCUGACUAGGCCACAAAGGGCUGAGAGUGGAGUAGACACUGUAGAGAUUAGAAACAAGGAGCUUACUAUGCAGUUUGCUCAGAAGGCUCAGAACAGAGAGGAAUAAAAGCAAGUCUAAAAGUUUUUUAGUUGAAAAGAAAUUGGAACCUGGUUCCUCUUGGUCCUCUGAUUUUGAUCCACAAAGAAGCUGACACAAAGUUUACUUCUUUAUGGAAAGAAUUACGGCGAGCAGUAAGAAGCAGUGUGUGGAAAAGGGAAACAGUUGCUCAUCAACAUGUGUAUGGACCAGAAGAAAACCUGGAGGAUGACAUGUACCGGAAGACUUGUACUGUGUGUGGCCACGAAUUGACAUAUGAGAAAAUGUGAUUUUUAGUUAAGUGAUCCCAUUUUACAGUGUUUUAUAUUUAAAUAAAUGAAAUUUAGACUGAUCCUGUUCAGGAUUCACCAAAAUGUAAAGUCUUCAUGAUGGAUAAAACACUUGUGUAAAUAAUACUUCAAUGAUUAUGUACAUUAUGGCUUGAGGGCAGGUUUCAGUUAAAGUCCAGCUGGUCUGGUGUGGGCAAAAUAUAUAUAUUCUUUACAAUAGGGAUGGGAGCUGAGGGAUGGAAGUGUUAGGUAACAACUAAAAUUGAGAAGUAAGCAACCAAGGCAAACCCUAGUUGGAGGAGGAAGAGCUUUUAGUAUAGAGGCAGAAGCUGGCUGAGCUGGAUGCCUGUCCCCAGAGACACCAGGGACGGUGGUAGGCCACCGCAACCAGAGGCUGGCCAGGUCUUCUAGACCGUUUCUACCUCCGUGUCAGGGAGCAGGAGCUGUUGCUGGGACAGGUUUACUUAGGGUUUACUACUAUAGACCUUAAUAUUAGUGUCUAGAUAGCCCUUUUCAAACCUAGAUUAAAAUGGAAAAACAACUAUAUUGUUUGUUGAUCAAAGGUGCUGAUAAUAAGUUUAGCAUAACUUGUUAACAUUUACCGAGCCCUUGCCAUGUGCUAUGUAGGCACUAUGCUAGGUGCUUUAUAGGUAUUCUCUUUUAAUUCUGGGAGGGAAGACAGCUUGCUUCUGGAUCAAGUUUAGGUAGUUGGAUAUGGCCCAGCUUGUCAAAAGGAUUACAAGGUGGUUACAUCGAGUAAGAGGAUUUGAUCCCCUGUGCUUGAUUAUAAGGUUUCUGCAUUCUUUUUUUUUUUUUUUGAUAAAAUCAAGUUAAGAUAAACUAGGUGUUUUCAAGUUGUUCUUCGACAGGAAGAACUUUUUAUCCUAUUGCUACAAAUAAAUGAAUGGGAAGUUUUUAUACAUUUUUUCUCUUUAGAUAGCUCUUGGAGAUUAUGCUUAAGGGCAAAAGUCAAAACAAGUCAAACCCAAAUAGGCUUGAGACUGUUACUAAUUGUUUUCUAUGUAAGUAUUCAAUACAGCAAUCUUUACUAUAUAUCUGUUGAGUGUUGAUUUUUUUAAUGUGCUAUGCUAAAUUUUUACAGCUCAGUAAAAAUUGAUUUUAAAUGGGCAGCAUGACCUGAUUGGGACAAAAAAAAAAAGCUUGCAGCUUUAUGAAAACAGAAUAACUAGGGGUUCAGGCUGCUGACAACAGCAUUAGUACCUUGGGAGAUGAGGAGCCCUUGAACCACAUGGAUAUAGGUUCACAUUAGCUGUGGACCCUGGGUAAGUUACUCCGUGGGCCUGUUUUUCUUUUAGAUGGGCAUAAUAAUCUAAGAACUGUCAUGACAAAUAUGGUGAAUCUAUAACACCUGGCACAUAACAGCCAUUUAUUAAUGAGCACGUAUUAUGACCAAAACCAGUGUGGUCAUAGACAUGCCCAGUUGAGGUAGCUUCUAGUCACUCUUUACUUCCAUUAAUUUAAGAUAAUCAUGGUAUACAGGUGUCACUAAAGGCCAAGUUCUAUCCUCUUCUUUCAUUUUCAGGUAUACCUGUAGAUUAGUAAAUUAUGCAAAUCACUGCUAAACGCUUUCUAGGAAAAGCAAACAAACUUAUCUUCAUAUGAACUGCUUUCUGAAUAAUUUCUAGAAGGGAGAUGGAGAAUCAAGGAAACCAAAGGGAGAUUAUAAUCAAAGAAAACAAAAGCAUACGGUCACUUUGACAAAAGCAUGUUAAAUGGCAUCAGUAGUUUAGCAGAAUAUCCAUUUAUUGCAAGGUCUGAUGUACAGUGACAUGCCAUCCUUUUGUCUGUGUGAGCUUCAUUAGAGGGGGACAGCAACUGUUGGAAGUGUGCUCUUACACUUUUAUUCCUUCAAAAGUCAAUCUCUUGUUCAGUUUUUCCAUAUACCUAGCUGCCAAACUGGGUCAGAGCCCAGUAACAUCAGUGAGCAGUCAUUAGAAGCAGUUGUUACCACAUGAAGAGAGGGUGCAAGAGAAAAGGGGAGGAAAACCUAGAAACUCCUCUAGGAUUUGGCUCAAGUAAGUAUACCUAGCCAAACUUUGCAGUACGUUAUGAAAGGAUUACAAAGCAGAUUAGGGCAAAGUUACCAAAGCCUUAAAUGGUUAUCCUUCAGCUUCCUGAGAAUAGGAGCCACUUCUAACUAAUGAAUGACAUAGUUUGUAGGAAGUAGGAACAGUAUCAGCAGAUGAACAUUUAGUUAAGAACUUUACUUCCCUUUCUGACAGUAACUUGCCGUGCAACCUUAAUCUUGUGAUUAUUUCUUAAAUGUAUGGUAUUUAAAAAUCCUAGGAGUUCCCAUCUAUUGUGUACUCUAUAUUCUCUAGCCACUUAACUGUGUGGUAAACCAAAAAGACUGUAUCAAUAUGGAAAAUGCUUAAUGCAUCAUAAACUUAUGAUGGACUAAGUUAAAAAAAUACCUAUAUUGUAUAAAUGCACAAAGAUACCAGCUGUGGAAUUACUGGUAAAUUUUUUUCAAAGGUUUAAUGAACAACACCAUAUAGGAAACAGGCUCAGGAAUUAGUAGUUACUUGCACCAGAUUCCACAGAAAUAUAACCUAAACCUACACCUACUGCCAAGUAUAGUUAUUCAAUCUAGCUACUUCUAAUUGCAGUUUAGCAUGUUAACUCACUAAUACGACCUUGGAUGAAUCUUAGUUUUGAGAAAAUGACCAGAUGUUCUAAGAUAACAGUUCUAAAACUUGUCUGUACACUGGAAUUAUCAGGGAGCCUUAAGAACUCUGUGUUCCACCCCCAGAGAUUGUCGUUGGACAUAAAAAAUAAAUUUAGAAAUCUGAAGGUGAUUUAUGUUCAGAUGUAUUUAGAAACUGCCACUCUAAUUAGUAACACUUUUUAAUAACAGUUUCUUAAAAUACUACAGUUAUGAAAAAAUAUUUUGAAGAGAAAAUUUCAGAUGGAGGUAAGUACACUUUUAGUAAGAAACCACCAAUUUUAAAGUAGACGGAGAUGAUAAAUCAUGAAAUACCAGUGCUUAAAAAACAUACUUUUAGUUUUAUUUCAGCUGUGUUAGGUUAUCCAUGAGCUGUGAAAAGCUAUGCUACUUGAUAAGCCCAUCAGUUCUACACACUACUCUGUAAGUUUGACCUCUAGUGUUUCAUAUACUUCUUUUUCUAAUCAGUUAUCUUUUGUGCCUUCAGGAGAAAAAAUAUCAGAGAAAAAUUGUAUCUGUCACAUAUAUAAUACAUCCUAUGGUCAUCAUCACAUUAUUGUCAUUAGGGAAUAUCUGCUUUUUAGGGGCAAUUACCAUAUUCUUCACCAUCUUCCUUCCCCUCUGUUUCCUUUAGUAAAGUGAAAGGAUGCUACAAGAAA